rnacentral:rRNA from 1 species
ACGAACGCUGGCGGCGUGCUUAACACCUGCCAGUCGAACGGAAAGGCCCUGCUUUUGUGGGGUGCUCGAGUGGCGAACGGGUGAGUAACACGUGAGUAACCUGCCCUUGACUUUGGGAUAACUUCAGGAAACUGGGGCUAAUACCGGAUAGGAGCUCCUGCUGCAUGGUGGGGGUUGGAAAGUUUCGGCGGUUGGGGAUGGACUCGCGGCUUAUCAGCUUGUUGGUGGGGUAGUGGCUUACCAAGGCUUUGACGGGUAGCCGGCCUGAGAGGGUGACCGGCCACAUUGGGACUGAGAUACGGCCCAGACUCCUACGGGAGGCAGCAGUGGGGAAUAUUGCACAAUGGGCGGAAGCCUGAUGCAGCAACGCCGCGUGCGGGAUGACGGCCUUCGGGUUGUAAACCGCUUUCGCCUGUGACGAAGCGUGAGUGACGGUAAUGGGUAAAGAAGCACCGGCUAACUACGUG